rnacentral:rRNA from 1 species
GACGAACGCUGGCGGCGUGCUUAAUACAUGCAAGUCGAACGGGCCUUGUCCCCUUUUUUUUUGGGGGUGGGGUUAGUGGCGAACGGGUGAGUAACACGUGAGUAACCUGCCCCUCACUUCUGGAUAACCGCUUGAAAGGGUGGCUAAUACGGGGUGUUCUGGCCUGCUCGCAUGGGUGGGUUUGGAAAGAUUCGACCGGUUUUGGUUGUUUUGGUGGGGGAUGGGCUCGCGGCCUAUCAGCUUGUUGGUGGGGUGAUGGCCUGCCAAGGCUUUGACGGGUAGCCGGCCUGAGAGGGUGGGCGGUCACACUGGGACUGAGACACGGCCCAGACUCCUACGGGAGGCAGCAGUGGGGAAUAUUGCACAAUGGGCGCAAGCCUGAUGCAGCGACGCCGCGUGAGGGAUGGAGGCCUUCGGGUUGUGAACCUCUUUCGCCAGUGAAGAAGGUCCUGCUCUUUGUGGUGGGGUUGACGGUAGCGGGGUUAAUGAAGCGCCGGCUAACUACGUG